CAUGCGCACAAAUGUAAAGAUGCUGCCUUUACGAUUGUAGGUCGCCGAGAUCUACAUGGCUUGCUGAUUCCAAUCCACAAAAAUCCUCUUUUUAAAGAGGCAUCGAACGGCAAAACUUGCUUGAGAUACCUUCGAGGUUUCUGCGGAGGUAGUGCGAUGAGGGAUAAGUGGAAGAAGAAGCGCAUGCGAAGACUGAAGCGCAAGAGAAGAAAGAUGCGUGCCAGGUCCAAGUAGACAGCUAGCCGGCGACUGACAUCUCCAACUUCUUGACUUGCAACAUUUCAGCCACUAUCCACACGCCCGGAUCUCCAAGCCCGAUGGCUAAUCACAGAGAUUCACACAUCUUUCAUCACUCUGUUCCUGAACAUCGUCAGAAACGGAGACAGGAAACAUUGGACCAGAUGCCCCAAGAGAGGCUACAUGGCACGGCAGUCUUCAUGGAGCAGUUGUGGGGAAAUCAAGUCCAUCUUUCCACCUUGGACAGAACUUCAACAAACACGCUUUCUGGUUCGCCAGGUCCAACAUUGACUUUUGGAAGCGAGGCAACAGGCUCUCUCGUCAGAGGAACACCCGGCCGAGUUCGUUCUGGGGCAACUUUCCAACAGUAGUGACGGACAUGUCGGACUGUUUUGCUUAACAAUCAUGAAUGGUCUUGUGGAUUUUGUAAUAAAAAGCGGUGUCAACAUGUCAUUCAUAAUAA